UCCCUCCAGAUCCCUGAACCCUCAAAGCUAGCCAGUGGUGUGAGUGGCUGAAAGAAAAAAGGAGGAAAAGUAAAACUGAAAUGGACUUGGAGUCUUUAGUGAACAGCAAUUUCAUGUCAAACAACA
rnacentral:snoRNA from 1 species